UAGAAUGACCAGCGGACGCGGCACGGCGAUGAUAGCGGCGGUGGUGAUGGUGGUGGUGAUGACAGGACUAGCAACCAUCUUUCAUCACCAGUACUUUGCAAGCCCAGAGGAGUGUCGAGAACCUACGGAGGAGGAGUGUCUGGAGGAGUCCUUGCGCGGCUCCCCCAUCUGGAAUGACCCACAACUCCUGCAGGUCGUAAGGGAGGAGUUCCUGACGCCCCCCUCAGCCCCUGCGCCGUCCUACCAGGAGAAUGCCCCGCCACUCACGCCCACGGAGGCUAAGCUUGUGCAGGUGGUGAGGGAUAAGGUGGGCGCCGUGGGCUUCCUGGUGGCAAUGCAGGGCGUGUCCCGCGGGCUAGUGGCUGCGCUGGGAAGGAGGGCGGGGUUGUGGGUGGCGCCACGCCCAGAGGAAGACCGCGCCCACUACAACAACCACGCCCCCGCGCACUUCUGGCACACACACGCCUGCCUGUCACCCUCCAUCCCGUACAUGAAUGCGAAACAAGAGCAAUGUUUCAACCUUCCCUCCCUCCUCGCCGCCCUGGGCCAGACUGGAGUUGUCGACCUCUUCCUGGCCAGCGCCCUUCCACCUAACCACCUCCUGCACGCCCUCGCCUCCCACCCUCCCGGUAGAGUCAGGGCGUUGGUGACGGAGGCCGGGGAGCAGCUGGUAGGCAUGCUGAAGGAAUACAGUAUCGGAAUGCGCUACUCAACAUAUGACAUCGGAAACACCACCUUAUUUAUCUUUAAUACUUAAUAAAUUUUCCCUUUCUCUCUUACAUCUUGCUGGUGACGUUUUUUUUUUUUUAACUGCUACAGCCUAUUCAAUUACUCUGUCACCUGGAAAACACACAAUCAACAAACCAUCCUCUGUUCUUUUUUCGUGUGUCUAGGCAAUUAUUUUUUUUACAUUUGUGUCAUUAAUGAGUGUUUUGGUGUAUUUUGGUGUGUUUUGGAAUGCUUCUUUUUUUUCUUAGGUUUCUUUUGUGUUUGGUCUGUGUUUUGUGUGUUUGGGAUGUGUUUUGCGUUCGUUCGGGUUGGCUCAUCAUUGGUCUGGGUGGGGAAUUAAAUCCGUGCUCUCAGAUAUUCCAGUGUCUCAUCUUGGCGACGUUCUAACAGGCUCUAGUGGAAGUUACUGUGAGUUUUUAUGAGUGUUUUUGUGAUUGUUCUGAUAGUGUAAUGACUAAUGAAUAUUCUGAUUAACUGUGGUAACACUAAAUGAAGACGGAACAAGAAAAGAAGAAAGACAAAGUAAAGAGAAGAAAACAAGAAAAGAAGGACAAAAUGAAUAGAAAGAAGAAAAGAAAAGAAAAGGAGAAAACGAAACACGUAUGAAGAAUAAAUGAAUAAGAAAAAGAAAAAUGAAAUAAGAAGAAAACAAAUAAAGAGAGAACGUUAGUUUUCUUGGUUCCAGUGAGUGUAAUAAGUAUUCUGAAUGAUUAAUGGCGGAAAACACUAGUGAGAUUGACUUGUUCUCCGUGGCCUUUUGAAAAUAUGCUGUGAUGAUGAGAGAAGGAAGAAAUUUAAAGAAUGUAGGCUUUAGUCAGGAAUAUUGUAAUGUAGUAAUGUUCCGGGUGUUUCUAAGUAUCUGUACAACAACAACAACAACAACAACAACAACAACAACA